rnacentral:rRNA from 1 species
CGUUAGCGGCGGACGGGUGAGUAACACGUGGGUAACCUACCUAUAAGACUGGGAUAACUUCGGGAAACCGGAGCUAAUACCGGAUAAUAUUUCGAAUCGCAUGGUUCGAUAGUGAAAGAUGGUUUUGCUAUCACUUAUAGAUGGACCCGCGCCGUAUUAGCUAGUUGGUAAGGUAACGGCUUACCAAGGCGACGAUACGUAGCCGACCUGAGAGGGUGAUCGGCCACACUGGAACUGAGACACGGUCCAGACUCCUACGGGAGGCAGCAGUG